GGAAUAUUGGACAAUGGGCGCAAGCCUGAUCCAGCAAUGCCGCGUGAGUGAUGAAGGCCUUAGGGUUGUAAAGCUCUUUUACCCGAGAUGAUAAUGACAGUAUCGAGGGAAGAAGCCCCGGCUAACUCCGUGCCAGCAGCCGCGGUAAUACGGGGGGGGCAAGCGUUGUUCGGAAUUACUGGGCGUAAAGGGUUCGUAGGUGGCCAACUAAGUCAGACGUGAAAUCCCUCGGCUCAACCGGGGAACUGCGUCUGAUACUGGUUGGCUCGAGUGCAGGAGAGGAACGCGGAAUUCCAGGUGUAGCGGUGAAAUGCGUAGAUAUCUGGAGGAACACCGGUGGCGAAGGCGGCGUUCUGGACUGCAACUGACACUGAGGAACGAAAGCCAGGGGAGCAA
rnacentral:rRNA from 1 species